AACGCUAGCUACAGGCUUAACACAUGCAAGUCGAGGGGAAACGACAUCGAAAGCUUGCUUUUGAUGGGCGUCGACCGGCGCACGGGUGAGUAACGCGUAUCCAACCUGCCCAUCACUUGGGAAUAACCUUGCGAAAGUAAGACUAAUACCCAAUGACAUCCCACGAAGGCAUCCGAAUGGGAUUAAAGAUUUAUCGGUGAUGGAUGGGGAUGCGUCUGAUUAGCUUGUUGGCGGGGUAACGGCCCACCAAGGCAACGAUCAGUGGGGGUUCUGAGAGGAAGGUCCCCCACAUUGGAACUGAGACACGGUCCAAACUCCUACGGGAGGCAGCAGUGAGGAAUAUUGGUCAAUGGGCGAGAGCCUGAACCAGCCAAGUAGCGUGCAGGAAGACGGCCCUAUGGGUUGUAAACUGCUUUUAUAAGGGAAUAAAGUGGGUCACGUGUGACUUUUUGCAUGUACCUUAUGAAUAAGGACCGGCUAAUUCCGUGCCAGCAGCCGCGGUAAUACGGAAGGUCCGGGCGUUAUCCGGAUUUAUUGGGUUUAAAGGGAGCGUAGGCCGGAGAUUAAGCGUGUUGUGAAAUGUAGAGGCUCAACCUCUGCACUGCAGCGCGAACUGGUCUUCUUGAGUACGCACAACGUGGGCGGAAUUCGUGGUGUAGCGGUGAAAUGCUUAGAUAUCACGAAGAACUCCGAUUG
rnacentral:rRNA from 1 species